GCGCUAAUAGCUCAGUGGUAGAGCGGCCGACUGCAAAUCGUCAGGUCGCCGGUUCGAUCCCGGCUUGGCGCU
rnacentral:tRNA from 3 species